rnacentral:ribozyme from 1 species
UGCCCAGCAACUCCUAUCCCUACCUCCACGUGAUACUGGCCGGUGUACGAGUAACCUUAGGGAAGAUCUGGUAACCAACCCCGGUGGGAGCUUUGGUCGUAUGCUGACAGGGAAGG